rnacentral:rRNA from 1 species
AGUCGUAACAAGGUUUCCGUAGGUGAACCUGCGGAAGGAUCAUUACCGUGGGGCUUCGGCCCCGUCGUGAUAGAACCCUUGCCUUUUUGAGUACCGUCCGUUUCCUCGGCAGGCUCGCCUGCCAAUGGGGACCCCAAACCAAACUCUUUUUAUCAUCUGUAACAGUCUGAAAAACAAACAAAAGUUAAAACUUUCAACAACGGAUCUCUUGGUUCUGGCAUCGAUGGAGAACGCAGCGAAAUGCGAUAAGUAGUGUGAAUUGCAGAAUUCAGUGAAUCAUCGAAUCUUUGAACGCACAUUGCGCCCUUUGGUAUUCCUUAGGGCAUGCCUGUUCGAGCGUCAUUUGAACCCUCAAGCUCAGCUUGGUGUUGGGUGUCUGUCCCCGCCCCGCGGGGACUCGCCUCAAAAACAUUGGCGGCCGGUACGUUGGCUUCGAGCGCAGCAGAAACGCGAACUCGGGGCCCGACUUAUCGGCGACCACAAGUCUAUUCAUCACUUUGACCUCGGAUCAGGUAGGGAUACCCGCUGAACUUAAGCAUAUCAAUAAGCGGAGGAAAAGAAACCAACAGGGAUUGCCCUAGUAACGGCGAGUGAAGCGGCAAGAGCUCAAAUUUGAAAUCUGGCUCUUUCAGAGUCCGAGUUGUAAUUUGUAGAGGGUGCUUUGGCGUUGGCUGUGGUCUAAGUUCCUUGGAACAGGACGUCGCAGAGGGUGAGAAUCCCGUAUGUGGCCGCCAGUCUUCGCCGUGUAAAGCCCCUUCGACGAGUCGAGUUGUUUGGGAAUGCAGCUCUAAAUGGGAGGUAAAUUUCUUCUAAAGCUAAAUAUUGGCCAGAGACCGAUAGCGCACAAGUAGAGUGAUCGAAAGAUGAAAAGCACUUUGGAAAGAGAGUCAAAAAGCACGUGAAAUUGUUGAAAGGGAAGCGCUUGCAGCCAGACUUGCCCGCAGUUGCUCAUCCAGGCUCGCGCCUGGUGCACUCUUCUGCGGGCAGGCCAGCAUCAGUCCGGGCGGUUGGAUAAAGGCCUGCUACAUGUACCUCUCCUCGGGGAGGACUUAUAGGGCAGGCGACAUGCAGCCAGCCCGGAUUGAGGUCCGCGCUUCGGCUGGGAUGCUGGCGUAAUGGCUGUAAGCGGCC